GUUUAGCCGCGACACCACACUGUUGCGUCCGAGGAAUGGGCAGAGAGGGGGUGGUGUCUGGUGUGCGGACUUUUCUCGGUGAGACUGCCUCUACUUACGUUUUGUUGUGCACAGUCAUUCAAGCAAAUGUGACCGGAUCGUCUGCAUAUCAUUUCAGUUUGGCUGAAAGACACGCAGGGUCUCCCUGUAUUACCAACUCUGUUGAUGACGUCCACUUUGACCACACUAUAGGAUGCAGGUGAUUCCGCAGACGCAGACAGAGCAGAUGGAGUACCGUAUCGCGGCAGAGAGGAGGAGGAGGAUGAGACUGAUCCCCGCUGAGAUCAUCACAGACCUACUGAACAGCAGCACCGCUCAACUAGUGUGCAGAGGCCUACCAGGGUGCGUUGUGGCACAUCAAUGGCACCUUUAUGACCUUUUGAGGUGCUGGACAAAGGCAGAAAGCCACGCACGUUGCCCCAGAUACGACCCAAACUGGUGGAAUGCUGAUGCAUGAAUUCGCCUGGCUCAGAGAAGCGGUCUGUCUCAUCCGGACAUUCUCUAUGGCAAGGUGGAAAUCACAUUUGUAAUUUGAAACAUUUAUUGCAGAGGUCGGAGAGGCAGGAAGCCAGGUUUAGACAAACCCCCACUGUUGCAAACCAGAUGCUAGGCUAGAAGCAUGGGGAGAUAAUGUUGAGAUGUUUUUUUUCAUUUGGAGAUAAAGUUUAUGAAUUGACUGGCCCGGCUGUGGGACAGUAGAUGCGCAUUGAUAAUUCAAAUGGAACUGUUAACAGGCAUUACCUGUAGAUUAUUGUGAAUAAAUAAGGGCUAUCAACCAGUCACCAUCCAGGAUCCAAAUGUACCAUUUUAGAAUGUAAAUUGAGAAAUGCCAUUACAGUAAUGUCAAGAGACAAAUGCCUCUGCUCAUCCAAUUUCCUUGCAUAACGGUGAAAGCCAGGUCCCAAAUUCACUUCUUUAUUUAUUCUCAGGAUAGGGAAAGACACUACAAGAAGGCUAUCGCUAGGAAGAAAAUCCGACUGGACAGGAAGUACAUUAUCUCCUGCAAACAAACGGAGGUGCCUCUGUCUGUACCCUGGGACAUCAGCAACUAGGUAAGACAAAGCACACACACAUAUACACACACACUUACACGGAAGAAUCCAAACCGGUUUCUUGCUCAGCUGUAUCUCAGCUACAACAAUGUGUCUGCACUGAAAAUAAUGGCUGCUCCAAGCAACUGGAUGUUGAGCUCUGAGGAAAAACAAGGUACGUCUCGUUUGUGGAACAGUUAAACAUAAAGGCAUCAAUCAUUAGAAACAUUAUUCAACUAAAUUAGAAUAAGCUCAUAGGAUUGUUUGUUUCCUGCUAACUCUCCCCCUCUCCUCCCUACCGGCUAAUCCAAUUAUGACUUUCGAUGGCCAGCUGAAAAUGCACAGUCAUAGUGAGUGUUUUCGAAUUCAGAUUAAGUUGGAUGGAAGCAAUGUGGAACAAGUCAACUGCUUUCUUAAAGGAGCUAUGUAUAACAUUUCCACUUGCACUAAAUGUCAAUGAUUUAAUGAUCUAGCAGUAUAUGAAUAGAACCCUACAAGCCUCUGUUUAAACCCAUAUGGAUUCUAUAGUAAUUUCCAUGGUUUAUCCCCCUCCUUCCUUAUCUGUUCCCAGGUCAGUCUGCACACUCUGGAGAACCAAAUGCUUUGUUUUAAGGUAGAGACUCAUGUCAACGUCCCCGAUGAACAGGCCUUCCAUCUGCUCUCAGACCUGCGCAGGAGACAUGAGUGGGACAGGCAUUACCCAUGGACAAUGUGAUGUGAUCGUCCAUGCAGAUGAGAAUGAAACCAUCAACCGUGUGGCCACUCCGUGUGGACCCAUACCUGAUUGCCCUGCCACUAAGGAAUACACCCGGGGAGAAGUUCUCUGUGCAGGCUUCAGUAUCUGCGAGGAGUCCGACUCAGGAUCUCCUACUACAACCAGGCCACACCAGGAGUCCUCCAUGAUAUCUCCAACGACAUUGCAGGCCUUUCUUCCAGCUUCUAUGGCACCUUUCACUCCUGCAGCAAGUACAGAGAGGAGAACAGAGACAGCCUAGCCACCCUGCCCCCUUCUGACCUGUGACUGAAUGGUGUCAUCCUGAUCCCCUCUGUCCUGUCACAAAUGGUACAGUCCUGGAAGCGCUGCCCCUUUGACCUAUGAUAGAAUGGUACCAUUCUCCUGGCCGCCUUGCACCACUCUGGCCUGUGAAAGAUGGUAUCACCCAGCACCUUUCUGCCUUGUUACUGAAUGACACCGUCCUGCUGCCCUGCACCCCUACCAAUAUGUGCACUUGGAAAGGACCAGGAUAGCUAGUUCCCUUUACACCCAUUCUGUACUGAGGAACAGCCUAACUCUUAUCAUUGGGAGACCUGAGAACGCCAGUUCUGGGAUAUCCCCCGACCCCAACUGCCAAGGAAAUCUGUACUUUUGCUUUUCUAAAAUGUGGGAUUUUCAAAUGUGGGACUAGUUUUGGGAUUACUAAUGUUUGUUACUCUCUUGGAGGUUACAUCAUGAUCUUCCAGACCAGUGUACAUUUCCACACUACAGGUUACUCUUAUCUCUCAAGACUGUCAGCUGGUGAACGUCCAUUUGUAUAAUAUUAUAUCGAACUCACCUCAUCUUUUGAUAUUACGUGCAAUACUUAACAAUACUUGUGUUUAGUUAGGUCUUAUCUGGACAUUAAACAGUUAGUAGCCCUAUGAACAGGAGAAGUAUGCAAACUGGUUUGCUAUGCAGUUGAGUCUGACAUGUUUGUACAUGUUUUUGUCUUGUCUCUUGUUACCGAACUGUGGAUAAAAAAGCAGACUAGUUCAGGUAGGAGUAUUUACAUGCAAUUUGUUUUAUAAUAGGCUAUUUUCUACCUCCUUAAAUCACAUUCUUAAUUCACCAUUUGCCUUUCGAAUCUGUAGUCGAGAUAUACAUCUACUGUAUUUGUGAUUUUGAUUUGGGAGACUAGUGCGCUGUCUAAUCUCAGAAUGAGCCAAAUACACUUUGCUUCACAACAGGUAUUUCAACAUGAGUAGACGAGGUGAAUAAAUAGCCAUGAUUUCACUCGAACAAUAAACACAAUAGACCAGAGA